GUGCUUGUUUCAGCACCACACAUGCUAAAAUUGGAAUGGCACAGAUUAGCAUGGCCCCUGUGUAAGGAUGACACACAAAUUCAUGAAGUAUUUCAUAUUUUU